AUCGCUUCUCGCCUUUUGGCUAAGAUCAAGUGUAGUAUCUUUCUUAUCAGUUUAAUAUCUGAUACGUCCCCUACCCGGGACCAUAUAUUAAAUUGAUUUUGGACUUGGAGAUGGAACAGGGCUUGCUCCGUCCACUCCACGCAUCGACCCGGUAUUGCAGUACCUCCGGGAACGUGCACCCUCC
rnacentral:snRNA from 1 species